GGUAGCUCCUUUGUUAAUCCAAGCUUUUCUUCCCAUAACUGUUGUGUUUUUAUAGGUAGUUUUUGUAGCAAUGUGAAAAUCACGAAAACAUCCCAACUUUCUACUGGCACACCUAAGUUCUUCAAAGCAUGAAGCACUUCUUUCGAUUUAUCUAACAGACACUUGAUGGAAUCUGACGUUUCAACCUUAAUUAUUGGCUGCUCAAAAAAUGAUUUUAACUCAGGAUAAAUGAUGAAAAUUCCACACGAUGAUUUCGACAAAUUCUCCACAGUUUCUGCACAGUAAUGAUGAACGGUGAUAAUGAUGGCAAUAGUUAAAACGGUGACAACGGUAAUAACGGUAAUGCAGCAACAGUUAUAACGGACAACAGUUAUGAAGCAACGGCAAUCCAAUAUCACAUUUGGUGGUUAAAUUCUCCAAAAAAUAUAGAUUUUCUUUGUUACGUUUAUUGCACUUUGUAUAAUUUGAUAUAAUUACUCACAUGAAUUUAUAAAUUAAUUGUGUUGAUUAAUUGCAGGCUGAGAUGCUGACUGGGUACUUCGCUGGACAGGACACUGAUUGGGAACUCCGCUGGACAGGACACUGACUGGAUGCUCCGCAGGACAAGACAACGUAUGGGUACUUCACUGGACAGUAUGCUCGAUGACGCUCGACGUACA